rnacentral:tRNA from 1 species
GGCCGUGUAUGUCAGUGGUAGACUGUUGCCCUCCUAAGGCAGAGGUCCUGGGUUCAAGCCCCAGCAUGGUCG